UCCUUGGGGUGCUAGUUGAGAGCCUUUGC
rnacentral:piRNA from 1 species